CAGGGAAUCUUGCACAAUGGGCGAAAGCCUGAUGCAGCGACGCCGCGUGAGGGACGAAGGCUCUAGGGUUGUAAACCUCUUUUCUCAGGGAAGAGCAAGGACGGUACCUGAGGAAUAAGCCACGGCUAACUACGUGCCAGCAGCCGCGGUAAUACGUAGGUGGCGAGCGUUGUCCGGAAUUAUUGGGCGUAAAGGGUCCGUAGGCUGUUUUGUAAGUCUCCUGUGAAAACUCCAGGCUCAACUUGGAGCGGUCGGGGGAUACUGCAAGACUGGAGGCUGUCAGAGGAAAGCGGAAUUCCCGGUGUAGUGGUGAAAUGCGUAGAUAUCGGGAGGAACAUCAGUGGCGAAAGCGGCUUUCUGGGACAGUUCUGACGCUGAGGGACGAAAGCGUGGGGAGCAAACCGG
rnacentral:rRNA from 2 species